rnacentral:misc_RNA from 1 species
CGAAUGAAGCUUCUCACAUCUUUAUUGCUCCAAUUAAACCCACAGAUGAAAACACAAUUUUACAGAAAAGAAAGGAACAAGAAUGUUGAGAAUGAGUACUAUCAAAGUAAAAUUGAAGCUUCAUGUGUGGUGGCUCUAUUCAAGACUAUCCCCCUUUUGAUACAAAUGGCACAACAGUGACUGCAUCCAAACUCAAAACUGACCUCUAGCAGUAGGUUAAGCCUUGUAUUCAUGGACGCGCAUCCAUUUUGUAGAUGACCAUUUGUUACCUUUAAUUACAGGGCACCCACCAUGCAAACUUGAUGGAUCUAGAACUGCAUCAGGCUUCAUGCUCCAGAAAAGCAAUGCGUCACCCAUCUUUGGUUUUACAGAGAGUCCACCUUUUCCACAUACAGAUAGUUCAUUCCACCAAGGGACUGCACUAUAAUUUCCCUUUGCAGCUGGGAAUACUGUUUCGCCCCCUUCAUCAACAUCUGACAAGUACAUUAAAACCGUCGCAAUGCGUUGACCCCCAUUUUUAGUGUUAAACUCAUCAAGAAAGUAAUCGUAGUGGGGCUCAUACUUUUGCCCCACUUCGUAGUGGAGAAUUUGAAGACCUUCACCAUGCUCUACUGGUAUGAAGGUGAAAUCUGCAAUCCUUUUCUCAAUAUCCCUGAUCACCUUAUCACGCCCUCUUGCAAGAAAUGUUCCGGAACUGGUUCGGACUCUGCUGUCCAUACUCUUGCCAGUAGAACUAUCUACGACACUUGACUUUUGCAUGUGAGGCUUGGCAAGACUAAUCAGAUACUCACAUUCCUCCUUGGACAAGAAGUUAUGGUACACGUAGGCUCUUGGUUCCGAAGAAAUCACUUCAACCCACUGAUCAGUUUUUCCAUCGUCGUCAUCAUCUUGUCUUUGAACUGUAUUGUGGGCUAUAGAGGUGAGAUCGUGUGCUUUCUGAGAGCCCCUGUGAAAGGAGAUAAUUCGGAAAGCAAGAAGAAUGAGAGCGAAAAAUGACAACACAAUAAUCCCACCAAAGAUUAGUGUAGAAUUCGACGAUUUUCGAGGCCCCAAUCGAGAAUGCCUUCCUUUCACUGCCAUUGCUACUCAAACUCCACGAUGAAAUCUGCAAAAUCUUUGAAUAUUUGAAGAUCUAAUCUACAACUUUGAUCAGCUAAUGCAACUCGGCAAAGAAAUGGAAACAGUGGG